CUCUUUUAAGAUUCUUUUUAAAUCACAUUUCAUAGAAACAUAUGUCACAAAAACUAUAUAAUACUGAAGGGGUAAACUAAACAAUAUUCCACUCAACUUUCCAAAAAUUAUUUGUGGAUAUUUUUCGUUGUAACUUCAUUUUACAUCCUUUAAAGUUAAUUUUUCUCAUCUUGUUAGAGUGUUUAGAUUUUGCAUUUUUAUUAUGUAAAUCCUCGGAACAAGUUCUCGUCUGCUUAUUUCCAUCACAUCCUUGCAAUUCAAUAACUUCCGGUGAUCAGUGAGAUUAAUUAGACCUCAUUAAAGCUUCAGAAAAUGAUAAUCAGCUGUUGUUUAUAUGUACAUGGGUUUUCCCGCAGCAUACUAUAAAAUAAAUGGUACAUUAAUCCGUCCAGAAAAAACAACAUAAAGUACUUAUACCGACCAUUUUCAAAGAACACUCCGCACACUGUUCUGGUCGCUAAUUAUGUCUUUUAGAGCCAUUCUUCUUAAAGUAAAGGAAUCUCGCUACCACUGACUGAACAGAGGAUCGAUCAAUCUUUAGCAGAUUUGAUAUCGUCUGCUUUUAAGUCUACUUACGCAUAUCUAAUAAUAUCCUCUGAUGUAUAAUAUUUGUUUGUAUUUUUUUUUGCUAAGCGUGUUUAGUAUUAG
rnacentral:lncRNA from 1 species